rnacentral:lncRNA from 1 species
CCUCUCCCUUUCUCUUCUCUUGGGUGUUCUAUACACCCCUUCCUUGGGACAAGCAUCCCAAGGAGUUCCAUGCCCAAAGGAGUUUGGGUGCCUCUUCCUUGCUGGUUUCUAGCAUCUAGUAGCAGCACAUAGUAAAGAGAAACUCUAGAGAAGAAAAGAAGAAGAAGAUCAAAGAGAAAGAUCAAGUGUUGAUCGCGAUCC